GAUGAACGCUAGCGGCAGGCCUAAUACAUGCAAGUCGAGGGGUAGAAGAGGCUUGCUUCUUUGAGACCGGCGCACGGGUGCGUAACGCGUAUGCAACCUACCUUCAUCUGGGGGAUAGCCCGGAGAAAUCCGGAUUAAUACCGCAUAAAAUCACAGGAUGGCAUUAUCCAAUGAUCAAACAUUUAUGGGAUGGAGAUGGGCAUGCGUGUCAUUAGCUAGUUGGCGGGGUAACGGCCCACCAAGGCGACGAUGACUAGGGGAUCUGAGAGGAUGGCCACCCACACUGGUACUGAGAAACGGACCAGACUCCUACGGGAGGCAGCAGUAAGGAAUAUUGGUCAAUGGAGGCAACUCUGAACCAGCCAUGCCGCGUGCAGGAAGACUGCCCUAUGGGUUGUAAACUGCUUUUAUUCGGGAAUAAACCUUAUUACGUGUAAUAAGCUGAAUGUACCGAAGGAAUAAGGAUCGGCUAACUCCGUGCCAGCCGCCGCCGUAA
rnacentral:rRNA from 1 species